GCAGGGCGGAGGGGAACCCGCCCAGGUCCCCCGCUCCGCCCCCGACUGCCCCUUCCCCGGCCUGUGCCUCCCUCGGCGUCGUCGGGUCUCCGCGUCUCGGUGGCUUCCUCCUCGUCCCCUGGACUCUCGCUCUCUUCCUCCUGUCUCCUCGGCCCCUUCUCCGCAGGCUGAAGGCGGAGCUGGAGAUAUUCCGGGAGCAGGUCCAGAGCGCCCCCGAGGUCGGGGCCGGCGAGGGAGAGGCCGGACCUGAGCUCCCCCGCGCUCGCGACGAGGAGGAUCCGGAGCCGCCGGUGGCUGCCCCUGACGCCCUCUAGGCCAGCAGGACCCGCCCGGUCCCGACCUUCCCUCGAGACCCGCCAAGAAAUAAAGGCGAUGAUUUCCGACCAUGCUCGCGUUCUCCCCGGAGUCUGUGCUACACGGUGGAGCGGGGCGGGGCGUCCUGGGAUCUCGAGGCGGGGCCUCUGCCGGACCCCGCCCACCAGUCGAGCCCCGGACGCCGUACAGAGGCUGGGUAAAUGCUCCUGAACUCAGAGAGAGUAAGUGGGUGUCAGGAUCCCCCGCCCCACGGCCUCAUCUCGAGUUCCCAAACCAUCUAUGU
rnacentral:sRNA from 1 species